rnacentral:rRNA from 1 species
UACGUAGGCAGCAAGCGUUGUUCGGAGUUACUGGGCGUAAAGAGUGCGUAGGUGGUGCCCUAAGUCUGUUGUGAAAUCUCCCGGCUUAACUGGGAGGCUGCGGUGGAAACUGGGGUGCUUGAGUGUGGGAGAGGUAAGCGGAAUUCCUGGUGUAGCGGUGAAAUGCGUAGAUAUCAGGAGGAACACCGGUGGUGUAGACGGCUUACUGGACCACGACUGACACCGAGGCACGAAAGCGUGGGUAGCAAACAGG